GACGAACGCUGGCGGCGUGCUUAACACAUGCCAGUCGAACGGAAAGGCCCUGCUUUUGUGGGGUGCUCGAGUGGCGAACGGGUGAGUAACACGUGAGUAACCUGCCCUUGACUUUGGGAUAACUUCAGGAAACUGGGGCUAAUACCGGAUAGCAGCUCCUGCUGCAUGGUGGGGGUGGGAAAGUUUCGGCGGUUGGGGAUGGACUCGCGGCUUAUCAGCUUGUUGGUGGGGUAGUGGCUUACCAAGGCGUGGACGGGUAGCUGGCAUGAGAGGGUGACCGGCCACACUGGAACUGAGACACGGUCAAGACGCCUACGGGAGGCAGCAGUGGGGACUAUUGGACAAUGGGCGCGAGCCUGAUCCAGCCAUACCGCGUGUGUGAAGAAGGCCGUCGGGUGGUAAAGCCUUUUUGUUGGGAAAGAAAAGCAGCAGGUUAAUACCCCGCUGUUCUGACGGUACCCAAAGAAUAAGCACCGGCUAACUUCGUG
rnacentral:rRNA from 1 species